UACGAAGGGGGCUAGCGUUGUUCGGAAUUACUGGGCGUAAAGGGCGCGUAGGCGGUCUUGCAAGUCCUGUGUGAAAUCCCUCGGCUCAACUGAGGAACUGCACAGGAAACUGCUUGGCUUGAGUUCGGGAGAGGGAAGCGGAAUUCCGGGUGUAGCGGUGAAAUGCGUAGAUAUCCGGAGGAACACCGGUGGCGAAGGCGGCUUCCUGGACCGACACUGACGCUGAGGCGCGAAAGCUAGGGGAGCAAACGGG
rnacentral:rRNA from 1 species